AGCGUCUUAAAGCACCAGUGGCGGCCGCGCUGAGGGCAGGGGCCGCUUCGGGGGCAGAGUGCGUCAAUGAAGACCAUUGUCGCAGGGUACUUAGGUGCCCUGCUCGUGAAGAGGGGAAACUGAUGGGGAAAGAGCCCUAGCAGGGAACAAGGAGCCCAGCUGUGGGUUGCCAGGGCAACCAGGGGAGGUCAGCUGACUGAAAGGGGUAGGGCCUGGCUCCCUUAUAAACCCUAGGAGCUAAGACCAGAGGUAGUCCCUGUCAGGAGCCCUGGAGGAAGGAGCUUUUUGCUGUGGAAGAGAGGAGAUGCCUGCUGAAGGAGCAGCACAUGACCUGGCUGUGGGAUGAAGAACCCUGGCACACACAACAAGUGUUGGAACACUGGCUGGCUUAAGAUACUUACUUUAAAAUCCAGGGUCCACAAGAAUUUACACAUGGAAAGGAAAGCAGCUCACUCAUCCUCCAUAUAAUUCAACUCACAGAUACUGCUUCUUGAGUAAAAUCAGAAUGACGGGAAAAUGUUAAGGCUUUUCAUUAAUCAGCUCACAAAAUGAACCCCCUUCACCUUUCAUAGACAAAUGCUUGAAGCAGUAUCCUUGCAUAUAAUUAUAAUUUCUCUGCAUUUAUAGAAUUCACUCCAGACCCUUCCAGUUCUUUUAGGCCACAUCUGAUGAAGGAAAACAUUAAAGUGAUAUUUAUACUGAA